rnacentral:tRNA from 1 species
AUAAAGAUAAGCUAAGUUAAGCUUUUUGGCUCAUAACUAAAUUAUAGAAAUUUUUCUUCUUUAUA